rnacentral:rRNA from 1 species
AAGUCGUAACAAGGUUUCCGUAGGUGAACCUGCGGAAGGAUCAUUAACGAGCGAGGGUCUUCAGGCCCGAACCUCCCACCCUNUGCGUACCUUACCGUUGUUGCUUUGGCGGGCCCGUGGGGAUCCCCCCCCGCUGGCUCCGGCUCGCGAGCGCCCGCCGGAGUCCCCCAAAUUCUUUAUUAUCCCGGGAUGUCUGAGCACUAUCUAAUAGUUUUAAAACUUUCAACAACGGAUCUCUUGGUUCUGGCAUCGAUGAAGAACGCAGCGAAAUGCGAUAAGUAAUGUGAAUUGCAGAAUCCAGUGAAUCAUCGAAUCUUUGAACGCACAUUGCGCCCCUUGGUAUUCCGAGGGGCAUGCCUGUUCGAGCGUCAUUACACCCCUCAAGCGCUGCUUGGUUUUUGGGCUUCGUCCCCCGGGACGGGCCUCAAAGUUAGUGGCGGUGCGGCCUGACUCCAAGCGUAGUAACUGCCCAUUCGCUUCGGGAGCCUUCAGGUCGGGCCUGCCAGACAACCCGCACUACUUUCAACGGUUGACCUCGGAUCAGGUAGGGAUACCCGCUGAACUUAA